rnacentral:tRNA from 2 species
UCUAAUAUGGCAGAUUUAAUGCAUUGAAUUUAAACUUCAAGGAUAAAGAGUAAUCUUUUUUUAGAA